rnacentral:lncRNA from 1 species
GUCCUUCUCUCCCCUCAGUGCCCAGGUAACCAUCUGGGCAAACAUUCUCCAAAUAAUAAAUAUUGUAUAAAUAAUAAAUAUUCUCUAAGUGUUAAAUAUUGUAUAAAUAAUAAUUAUUCUCUAAAUCACAAAUCCAGGUCCCAGCAGGGAGAUGUUUAACCCUUGUGAGGUUUCUCUGUGUCCUUCUCUCCCCUCAGUGCCCAGGUAACCACUGGGCAAACAUUCUCCAAAUAAUAAAUAUUGUAUAAAUGAUAAAUAUUCUCUAAAUGAUAAAUCUUCUCCAAAUCAUGCAUCCAGCUCCCAGCAGGGAGAUGUUUGACCCUUGUGAGGUUUCUCUGUGUCCCUCUCCUCCCCUCAGUGUCCAUGUAACCACCUGGGCAAACAUUCUCCAAAUAAUAAAUAUUGUAUAAAUGAUAAAUAUUCUCCAAAUAAUAAAUGUUCUCUAAAUGAUAAAUAUUCUCCAAAUAAUGAAUCCAGCUCCCAGCAGGGAGAUGUUUAACCCUGUGUGAGGUUUCUCUGUGUCCUUCUCCUCCCCUCAAUGCCCAGGUAACCGCCUGGGCAAACAUUCUCCAAAUAAUAAAUAUUCUCCAAAUAAUAAAUAUUGUAUAAAUAAUAAAUAUUCUCUAAAUGAUAAAUAUUCUCCAAAUAAUGAAUCCAGCUCCCAGCAGGGAGAUGUUUGACCCUUUCUGAGGUUUCUCCGUGCCCUUCUCUCCCCCAGGCGCAGAUGGAGGAGUUCAGGCAGCUCAAGGAAGCUCUGCAGAAGAUGCCGGGCCUGAGAGGAGGAGGAGGAGNUCAUUUUGGGACCAUUUUGGUUCAUUUGGGGGCCAUUUUGGUUUAUCCUGGGUUCAUUAUGAUUGGGUCCCCCAAAUAAACCCAAUCUUGAGUUUAUUUCGGGACCAUUUUGGGAACCAUCUUGGGUUCAUUUUGGGACCAUUUUGGUUCAUCUUGGGAUCAAUUUUGGACCAUUUUGGUUCAUUUUGGGACCAUUUUGGGUUCAUUUUAGGACCAUUCUGGUUUAUCCUGGGACCAUUUUCACUCAUCUUGGGUUCAUUUUGGGACCAUUUUUGUUUAUCUUGGGGCCAUUUUGGUUCAUUUUGGGACCAUUUUGGUUCAUUUUGGGACCAUUUUGGUUCAUCCCGGCACCAUUUUUUGGGACCAUUUUGGUUCAUCCUGGGAUCAAUUUCAGACCAUUUUGGUUCAUCCUGUUUGGGACCAUUCUGGUUCAUUUUGGGGCCAUUCUGGUUGAUCCUGGGUGCAGCCCGGGCUGGCUCUGCUGCUGCCCGUGCUGUCUCCAUGGAGGAGCUCCUUUCCAUCAAUCCCUGCUUGAUUCUGUAACUCUGCCCCCCUGCCCCGUUUUCCUCCCCAGAACCAGCACGACGACGUCAAGAAGCAGCUGCUGGAGCUGCAGCUGCAGCACAACAGCCUCAGGCUGGAGCACAGGAGGAGCCUGGAGAGCCACGGCCAGAAAGUGGCCCAGCUGCAG